CUCCCUAAAGCUUAUUAAAUAAAACAUAAAUAAAACCCUUGCUUUAGAGCUAUUCAAAUAAGGCACAGCCUAUUUGAAACAGGAUACAACCUAAAAUAAUGGGUAAUUUUUUAUAAAAACAUUAAAGUGGGCCUAAAAGCAGCCACCUUUAAAAUAGCGUCAAAGCCUAUAUAAAACCCUUCCCUCAAUUUCAUAAACAAUUUUAAACCCUUAAUUACCACCGGGUAAUUCCAUACUUUUAUGGAAUAUAUUAUGUUAAAACUAGUAACAAGAAGCAAGUUCUUCUCUUAAAUGCAAGUAUAAGCCAGCAAGGAUAAUCCACUGUCAAUUAACACACAUGAACUUUAAGUAAUAACACCACAAGAAAAUUUUACUUAACAACUUAAUGUCAACCUAACACAAGGGCAUUACAAGAAAGAUUAAAAAAAAAAGAAGGAACUCGGCAAACAUUAACCCCGCCUGUUUACCAAAAACAUCGCCUCUUGUAAAACAUAUAAGAGGUCCAGCCUGCCCAGUGACUUAGUUCAACGGCCGCGGUAUCCUAACCGUGCGAAGGUAGCGUAAUCACUUGUUCUUUAAAUGAGGACUAGUAUGAAUGGCACCACGAGGGUUAGACUGUCUCCUUUUUUUGAUCAGUGAAACUAAUCUCCCCGUGAAAAAGCGGGAAUUAUUUUAUAAGACGAGAAGACCCUAUGAAGCUUUAAACAAACUAACAUCCGCUACCACUUUAUUACUUUCAGAAUUACAUCAAAAAAUAUAGCAACUUGAUUACAAGUUUUCGAUUGGGGUGAUCACGGAGUAAAAAACAACCUCCACGCCGAAAGGACUAAACUCCUCAACAAAAAGCCACAGCUUUAUGCACUAAUAUAUUAACGCCUUUGACCCAUUAUUUGAUCAACGAACCAAGUUACUCUAGGGAUAACAGCGCAAUCUACUUCGAGAGCCCCUAUCGACAAGUAGGUUUACGACCUCGAUGUUGGAUCAGGGUGUCCCAGUGGUGCAGCCGCUACUAACGGUUCGUUUGUUCACGAUAAACC
rnacentral:rRNA from 1 species